rnacentral:rRNA from 1 species
GACGAACGCUGGCGGCGUGCUUAACACAUGCAAGUCGAACGGUGAUGCUCCAGCUUGCUGGAGUGGAUCAGUGGCGAACGGGUGAGUAACACGUGAGCAACCUGCCCCAGACUCUGGAAUAAGCGCUGGAAACGGCGUCUAAUACUGGAUACGAAACUGGCCCGCAUGGGCAUGGUUUGGAAAGUUUUUCGGUUUGGGAUGGGCUCGCGGCCUAUCAGCUUGUUGGUGAGGUAAUGGCUCACCAAGGCGACGACGGGUAGCCGGCCUGAGAGGGCGACCGGCCCCCCGGGGACUAGCCCACGCCCCACCCCCCCCCGGGAGGCAGCGGUGGGGAUUUUUCCCCAAUGGGCGAACGCCUGAUGCAGCGACGCCGGGGGGGGGAUGACGGCCUUCGGGUUGUAAACCUUUUUCAGGAGGAAAGAAGCGAAAGUGACGGUACCGGCAAAAGAAGCCCCGGCUAACUACGU